rnacentral:rRNA from 1 species
UGAACGCUGGCGGCGUGCCUAAUACAUGCAAGUCGAGCGAACAGACGAGGAGCUUGCUCCUCUGACGUUAGCGGCGGACGGGUGAGUAACACGUGGAUAACCUACCUAUAAGACUGGGAUAACUUCGGGAAACCGGAGCUAAUACCGGAUAAUAUAUUUAACCGCAUGGUUCAAUAGUGAAAGACGGUUUUGCUGUCACUUAUAGAUGGAUCCGCGCCGCAUUAGCUAGUUGGUAAGGUAACGGCUUACCAAGGCAACGAUGCGUAGCCGACCUGAGAGGGUGAUCGGCCACACUGGAACUGAGACACGGUCCAGACUCCUACGGGAGGCAGCAGUAGGGAAUCUUCCGCAAUGGGCGAAAGCUUGACGGAGCAACGCCGCGUGAGUGAUGAAGGUCUUCGGAUCGUAAAACUCUGUUAUUAGGGAAGAACAAAUGUGUAAGUAACUAUGCACGUCUUGACGGUACCUAAUCAGAAAGCCACGGCUAACUACGUG